UACCCAGCAACUCCUAUCCCUACCUCCUCGUUGUACCAGCCGGAAACAAUGAGCAACCUUAGGAAAGAUCGUUACACCAACCCCGGUGGGAACUUUGGUCGUAGGCUGACAGGGAAGG
rnacentral:ribozyme from 1 species